rnacentral:tRNA from 5 species
GCCGCUGUGGUGAAAUUGGUAUACACGUAAGUUUUAGGAACUUAUGGAGCAAUCCGUGGGGGUUCAAGUCCCUCCAGCGGCA